rnacentral:rRNA from 1 species
CAGCAGCCGCGGUAAUACCGGCGGCCCGAGUGGCGGUCACUCUUAUUGGGCUUAAAGCGUCCGUAGCCGGGUUGGGAAGUCCUCCGGGAAAUCUGGCCGCUUAACGGUCAGAAUGCCGGAGGAUACUCCCAGCCUAGGGAGCGGGAGAGGCCGAGGGUAUUCCCGGAGUAGGGGUGAAAUCCUAUAAUCCCGGGAGGACCACCUGGGGCGAAGGCGCUCGGCUGGAACGCGUCCGACGGGGAGGGACGAAGGCCAGGGGAGCAAACCGGAUUAGAUACCCGGGUAGUCCUGGCUGUAAACGAUGCGGACUUUGUGUCGGACAAGCUAUGAGCUUGUCCGGUGCCGGAGGGAAACCGUUAAGUCCGCCGCCUGGGGAGUACGGCCGCAAGGCUGAAACUUAAAGGAAUUGGCGGG